UAUGGUCAUUUAGCUUUGAGUUCUGCUUUAAAACACACUCCACAUUUCAUGUGACAGAACAUAAUUUUCUAGAAUGCAGUGGUUUGCAGUGUUGUCAUCAUUGGUGCUGCUGUGCUCACUAGUUCCGUGUGUGUGUGUGUGUUACUCUGUCAGGCAGCAGGCAGCUGCGUCUGGUUGGCGGCUGGCGGAGAGGUGGCUGCUCGGGGCUGGUGGAGGUGCGUGACGGCGGCAGGUGGGGGCGGCUCUGCUUUGACCGCAGGAACCCGAUUGUGGCCCGGCUGGUGUGCCUGGACGCCGGGUGCGGGGAGCUGGACUUCUUGCGCCCCAGGAGAGGAGACAGAGCUACGUCUGGGGUGCAGCUACUCUGUGAGGGCCAGGAGACCACCCUGCGAGACUGUCUCUGGAGAAGCCAAGACACGCCCUGUGACACCGAGCUAGACAUGGUCUGCACAGAUGGUGUCCCGUCUGAGCCAGUGAGCACCAGCGACACACCUAGACAACAGCAACGCACACCUUCACUCACCUCUUCCAGCCUUCCGUGUUCCUUCGCCGCUGCCCCACCCUCAGGGCAGCUCUUCUCUGUGCUGUACGCGUCUCUGGUGCUCUGUGGCUUGGCCGUCAUGGUGGCUGCCGUCCUGACCGUGGAAGUGUUGGCAAGGAGACGCAGAUCGGCCCGGCCGUGGAUGCAGGACUUACAGUGAAACUCAACUCUGAUCAUCUCUUCAGCUCUGUGGUCCUGAGCUAUUGCAGUGCCUUUGCCACCAUACACCACAGGUCAAGUGCCCCCUGUUGCACUGGAGGAGGAACUGCAUCCAAGUGUUUUUUUUAUUUUUAUGUUUGUUUUAUAAUUAUUGUUUAAUAUGAUGUGCAUGGGGAAAUUUCAAAUCAUAGACCAGAAGCUAAGCAUUGAGAAUGUGAAUCGUGUAUAAUUCCAUAUUAAGAUUCUCAGUGGUUACCAGGAUCAAAUAUUUGAGUGAUCAAAUUAAAUUCUUCCUCUUGGACUUCUGGAUCUUUCUGUGUGGUGUACUGUUAUUCACAAAUUCAGACUAAAAUAUCAGGGAAUGCUUUUUUUACUCAUAGACUUUGUACAUAUCUAUUUGGAGAAAAUGUAAUCAUUAUUUUUAAGAAGAGAAGUAAUGGUCCAAGUGACCAAUUAGUAAUAUAAUAGUUGAAUAUCAGAAAUAUUGAAUAUUUAAAUGUUUUAUUUUUCUAUGAGGUAUUUAUCUGACUAUAACCUUGAAAUAAUGGAUAAUUAUCCUGCAGCUUGUAACAAUUGAAUGUUGACUCUUAAUAGAAUAAAUAUGUUCUUUAAUAGAAUCUCCACUGCAUUCCAAUUUCAGAUAAAUAGUUUUCAGAGUUUCUCAGUGUCUUAGCUUUGUUCUAAUUGUGCUCAGCAUCUGCCUUGAUUAAAAUCAUUACUGUUGCCUUUCCAUUUUCUUUUUUUGGUUUGUUUUUGUUUUUCUGAUGAGAGUGAAUUUGUGUAUGUGUGUGUGUGUCAAAAUGUCCAGCCACUUUCCCAUUUCAAAGCUGAUAGCUUUCUCUUAGACAGCAUUGUUUACAAGAAUUUAGCAGACACUCUUAUCCAGAGCGAAUUACACAACUUUUUACAUUUUUUAACAUUUCUACUAUUUACAUCUAAUGUCAUUUUUAAAAUAUAUUAACUGUGAAUGCUGUUUAUUGAUCAUUAAAUGAAUUAAAACACA